rnacentral:tRNA from 1 species
GGUAGCUCAGUGGUAGAGUGCUUGCCUUGCAUGCAUGAGGCCCUGGGUUCGAUUCCCCAGUACCA